rnacentral:misc_RNA from 1 species
GAUGAAGAACGCAGCGAAAUGCGAUAAGUAAUGUGAAUUGCAGAAUUCAGUGAAUCAUCGAAUCUUUGAACGCACAUUGCGCCCGUCAGUAUUCUGGCGGGCAUGCCUGUUCGAGCGUCAUUACGCCCAUCAAGUCCCCUGUGGACUUGGUGUUGGGGAUCGGCGAGGCUGGUUUUCCAGCACAGCCGUCCCUUAAAUUAAUUGGCGGUCUCGCCGUGGCCCUCCUCUGCGCAGUAGUAAAACACUCGCAACAGGAGCCCGGCGCGGUCCACUGCCGUAAAACCCCCCAACUUUUUAUAGUUGACCUCGAAUCAGGUAGGACUACCCGCUGAACUUAAGCAUAUCAAUAAGAGGAGGA